CCAAGCAAGAAUACUGGAGGAGGUUAACAUUUCCUUCUCCAGAGGAUCUUCCCGACUCAGAGAUGGAACCCAUGUCCUCUGCACUGCAGGCAGAUUCUUUACUACUGAGCCACCAGGGAAGCCCUAAGGGACACGGCUCUGGACAACGCGCUUCUGAGAUGCAGACAGGCUUGCUGGCCUGUGACUGGGAUGUGAAACAGGCUGGCCGCUGUGUCCAGUGUAGAGGGUUCAGAUUUCCUGGAUCAAAUGUUCCCAAGGCCCGUGAGGUCAUGUGGUUUCAGAGACAUAAGCUAAGCUCGGUGUGUAUUACAGAGAAGCCAUCGCAUCCGGGUGUGACCAUU